rnacentral:rRNA from 1 species
AGAGUUUGAUCCUGGCUCAGAAUGAACGUUGGCGGCGUGGAUUAGGCAUGCAAGUCGAGCGAGAAUCGGUCUUCGGAUCGAGGACAGCGGCGAACGGAGUAGGAAUACCUCGGUGACGUACCCCCGGGUCGGGGAUAGCGGCGGGAAACUGCCGGUAAUACCCGAUACUCUGCCUUGAUUUUAGUUUGGGGCAGCAAAGGUGUGAUUCCGUCUGGGGAGCGGCCGAGGUCGUAUUAGCUAGUUGGUAAGGUAACGGCUUACCAAGGCGAUGAUGCGUAGGGGGUGUGAGAGCAUGGCCCCCACCACUGGCACUGAGACACUGGCCAGACACCUACGGGUGGCUGCAGUCGGGAAUCUUCGGCAAUGGGCGCAAGCCUGACCGAGCGACGCCGCGUGCGGGAUGAAGGUCUUCGGAUUGUAAACCGCUGUCGGAGGGGAUGAAAUGCAUGGGGGUACUCCCCUGUGUUUGACAGAGCCUCGGAGGAAGCACGGGCUAAGUUCGUGCCAGCAGCCGCGGUAAUACGAACUGUGCGAACGUUAUUCGGAAUCACUGGGCUUAAAGGGUGCGUAGGCGGCGGCACAAGUCAGGUGUGAAAUCCCCCGGCUCAACCGGGGAACAGCGCUUGAAACUAGGUCGCUCGAGUGAGGCAGGGGUGUAUGGAACUUCCGGUGGAGCGGUGAAAUGUGUAGAUAUCGGAAGGAACGCCGGCGGCGAAAGCGGUACACUGGGCCUUGUCUGACGCUGAGGCACGAAAGCUAGGGGAGUGAACGGGAUUAGAUACCCCGGUAAUCCUAGCCGU